AGAGUUUGAUCCUGGCUCAGGAUGAACGCUGGCGGCAUGCCUAACACAUGCAAGUCGAUCGGUAAGGCUCUUCGGAGUACACGAGAGGCGGACGGCUGAGUAACGCGUAGGAACACACCCUGCAGUGAGGGAUAAGACACCGAAAGGUGUUCUAAUACCGCAUACGGUCUUCGGAUUAAAGCAUUUAUGCGCUGAAGGAGUGGCCUGCGUCAUAUUAGAUAGUUGGUGAGGUAAUGGCUCACCAAGUCGAUGAUGUGUAGCUGGUCUGAGAGGAUGAUCAGCCAGACUGGAACUGAGACACGGUCCAGACUCCUACGGGAGGCAGCAGUGAGGAAUAUUUCACAAUGAGCGAAAGCUUGAUGGAGCAAUGCCGCGUGCAGGAUGAAGGCCCUCGGGUUGUAAACUGCUUUUAUAAGAGAAGAUUAUGACGGUAACUUAUGAAUAAGGGACGGCUAACUACGUGCCAGCAGCCGCGGUCAUACGUAGGUCCCGAGCGUUAUCCGGAGUGACUGGGCGUAAAGAGUUGCGUAGGCGGUCAAGUUAGCGAGCGAUGAAAACUAUCGGCUCAACCGAUAGCUUGUUGUUCGAACUGCUUGACUCGAGAGUAUCAGAGGUCGCUGGAAUUCCUAGUGUAGCAGUGAAAUGCGUAGAUAUUAGGAAGAACACCGAUGGCGUAGGCAGGCGACUGGGAUAUUUCUGACGCUAAGGCACGAAAGCGUGGGUAGCGAACCGGAUUAGAUACCCGGGUAGUCCACGCCGUAAACGAUGGAUGCUAAUUGUUUGAGGUAUCGACCCCUCGAGUAAUAAAGCUAACGCGUUAAGCAUCCCGCCUGUGGAGUACGGCCGCAAGGCUAAAACAUAAAGGAAUUGACGGGGACCCGCACAAGCGGUGGAUCGUGUUCUUUA
rnacentral:rRNA from 1 species